UGUGCUGAAAUUUCACUUUUCUGUCUGCAGCAUUCAUGAAAGUAAUAAAACUGCUGCUGACUCUGGAGGUCUCAGGGAGUCACUGCAGGCACAAACUGUCCUUGCAGCAUCUUGUAUGGAAAAGGGGCUAUUCCAGGCAGCUCUUCGUGGCACUCCAUUUCAUAACCCAAACUUAAGUAAUGCUGCGUCUUUGCCAGUGUCUCUGUUUAAAUGGUUGAGACUGGCAAGUGUUUGAUGCAAAAAAUACUUCUGCAUGAGCAAAUGUUAUUUUCUUUAUGAGGACUAGACUGACAUGAGCUUUUGAGAAGUAAACAGAGAGAAAUGUAUAGACAAGACAAAUGGGCGGAUGAUAAAAUUGGUCCUUUACUCUGAACUGUUUCUAACAUAAUUCAAAAUAGCAGCUUUGGAAGAUGGCACUUCCUUUUAUAGUUCCUUUUCAGAAAUAAUAAGAGCAGUUUGCUAGAAUCUUGGUCUAACUAUUUAAUCACUACAUUACCUUUAAGCUAAGGUUUGCCUCCCAUCAUUAAGUAAUUCACUCAAGGUAACAAGUGAAAUAAAGUCAGAGGGAUAUAGUAGUCUCAAGAUGUAAGCCUUAUUUUACAAUAAAGAACAGUGUGGUUAGUCUUUCUCCAGAGGGUUGGUUUUUUUUUUGGUGCUUUCUUGCUUUGCUACAGCUUGCAGAAAACAGAGAUUACAAUACGCAUUUGCUAAUCAAUAUUAAACUAGUAGAGUAAAAUGUCAGGGAGGAAAAAAUUGAAAUCAUACUACAUUUCAACACCAACAGAGAAAAUCCCAGCAUUGUUAAAUGGCAGCAAUAAAACUAGCAAUUGUUAUUUAGUUUUAAGUAAUGAACCAAAUAAAAAAUACAGAACUUGCUACAUUGCCUUCCAAAUGAAGCUUAUUACACUGCUGCUUGAAUGUUUGUACAAUCUUUAAUUUAAACAUUUUCUCUUCAGGUCUUAAUAAUAGGCAUGGGUAGUUGUAAUUUACUUCCUCUUCAAAGGCAAAAAAUGAAAGAGGAAAACAAAAUGCUUUAACAACUCACAUGUGAGCAGAAGUAGCUCAUUCAGCCAGAGGAGGCUGGUAGGGCUGAAAGUCAGAGAAUUUCACCCCGCGAUUUAUCUUUCAGCCAGGUAAGGGCACGAUUAGCAUCUUGGAUUCAGAUGCUCACCUGCAAGGAUGUUGAGAAAAUUUCUUACGUGAGGACGUCCUUUGUGAGGAAGGAAAUAUUCAUAGUGAUGCUGAAGCUUAUGACUCGAAGCUGCACAUCGACAGUAACCUGCAGUGAGGAGGGCAAGAAAGAAUUAAAGGGGUGCUAGUCACAGCAGAUUUCAUCAAGGAUAAAUCCCAAUAUGGUUUAAUCACUGCUCAGUUUUAAACACUUUUCAUGAAAUAUUUGCAUUUUUAUGUCUGUUAAAGGCUUCAGUAGUUACUACCUCUUUGAUUUCCCAAAUUUGCUAUAAUGGUGUUAUGUUUAAAUACAUCUGUAUGUAUAAUAAUCUUUAACAUUGCUGAUCCUCUAUGUAAUGAAGUAGACUUUUCACUGUUGUAAAUAGGACUGAUGUGUGAUUAAUAAACCGAGCCAAAGAGUA